rnacentral:rRNA from 1 species
GGGGGCUCUCUGAUGUACGUCACUUGCGCUUCGUCCCUGCUGAAAGAGGUUUACAACCCGAAGGCCGUCAUCCCUCACGCGGCGUUGCUGGAUCAGGCUUUCGCCCAUUGUCCAAUAUUCCCCACUGCUGCCUCCCGUAGGAGUCCCCCCGUGCCCCCGCCCCGCCCGCCGCGCGCGGCGGGCGGGGCG